GACACCAAAAAUUUAAAAAAAAUGAAGAGAUUUAAAAUAGAUUACUAAAUAUUAAUGAAAGUGGAGCCCUUUCUCACAACAAAAUUGACGGGUUAUAAGACAUAAAUAAAUAAAAAGAAUUGGAGAAAUAAUGUGGAUGAUAGUCGAAUAUUUGAUUGAGUGAGUAGGUAUUUACAUAAUGAUAGAGGUCCAAAAAAUAGACAUAAUGAAAUGAAAGUAGCACGUAAAUAUAUACAAUACACAUUGUUUCCAAAAAAAAAGAAGAUUGAUUGAUACUAAUUAACGGCAUGCUGGAGAGAAGAGUUGGUCGAGGUUUUCAGGUAUCUUAAAGUAACCAUUCUUCGGAGCCUUUCUUUUUUCCCUCCCAAAUGAAUAUGGCUUCUUCUUCGGCGGUGGAGGUGGCACUAACGCCGUCUGUAUUUGGCAUUCCCACCUCUUCGGCGUUGAACAACCACCGUUCAUCUCUUCAUACCCACCGUUCAUCAUUAAUUAUUAUAAUAAUAGUAAUAAUAGAAACACGAGUAAGGAGAAUUAUGCAAAGUGUAAGGUAGCCAGUGAG
rnacentral:lncRNA from 1 species